GUUUUCGGUUAACACUAUUGUUGUGAAAUAAAUCUAGACAUCAUCAAACCUACAGAAAGAUCCUGCGAGAGGAGAUGUUGUGGUGGAGACGUCCGGUUAAUCAAACCUGAUGUUCAGUCAGAGAUCUGAUGUUGAUGGUUUCAUGCUGGAUUCUGUUUUAAUAGCAGAUUUGGUCACAUUACAUGCUGCAUUCACUCACCCACACAUCAAAGGCACAGCUUUAGGAGCAGUGUGGGUUUAGUAUCUUGCCAGAAGACACUACGACAUGAUGAAGACUGCAGAAUCUGGGAGCUGCCGAUCUUCCAACCAGUGGACGACUCGCUUUUCCUUUGAACCACGGCUGCUGUUAUCCUCCUUUUUUUUACACUUGCAAAUAAAAAUUCAUCUUAGAAGAGUGGGAAGGGAAAAACCA